CUAAUCGUCGCUGCUAGAUAAUGCUACAGGCUAUUUGUUACCGUUCGCUAUAAGCUAUUUACUACCGUUAGGAGCGAGACCAAAAAAUGAGACUUGCGUGGAUGCUGGUCAUGUCUACGGUCGUACUAGCCACAGAUGCUCAAAAUACCGAAGGCUUCAGGCCCUGCCAAAUUCAACAGCUGAGAGGGAAGCUGCGAUGUGUUGUACCGAGAGAUUACAACAUGCGUCCUGGGGAUUGCCCUGGUAACGACAUCUGGUCCCUUUACAGAGAUCGUACAACCUUGAAGGAAUGUGCACAAUUGUGUUCCACAUCUCCCAGUUGCCAGGCCUUUAUGUUCUACAACAAUCACCGAUGUUACCCCAAGACUAAAACCUGUGCCACUGCAACCAAGACCAACCCCCUAAAUAUGUUUUAUGACAAAGUCCCAAGAGGCUUUGCCAUGAGACCUGGUGAUUGUAGCGGCAAUGAUAUCUGGUCCAUCCACGGAUUCGUCUCCUUGAUGGAGUGCGCCAGACGCUGCAAAGCAAACCCUUCAUGUGUUGCAUUCAUGUUCUAUGAUGGCCGCGAAUGCUACCCUAAGACUAGGACAUGUCGAACGACAGAUACAGCUAAUCCUAAGAAUUUCUUCUACGAUAAGAUAGCCUUUUUGAAAGUAUAACAUACAGUUGUAGCAGCUGUCGGAAGAGAUAGAACGAACUAGCUGACAAACCACAAGAAACUCACACGAAUUUUAGUUCUCAAAAUAUCUAGCUUCGGCCAUGCGAUAAACCGUGUUAGUAUAAUCGCUUUAGUGUAAAAACCCUCCCUAAAUGUCAACAAUGGUAGGUGUUUUUUUUUCCUUUGUCUGGGUCAAGGUAGUUAGUUUUUGUGACAGUGUUCUUCUUUACUGUUGAGUAAAGUAGUCAGAUAAAGGUUUUUCCACCAGAAUAGGGGGUAUCAUCUACUUAGAAAUCCAGUGGAAAAAAUGGGUUGUUUAACUCAAUAAACCUUCCACAGCACAA